GCCAGGCGUGGUGGUGUGCGCCUGUAGUCCCAGCUACUUGGGAGGCUGUGGUAGGAGGAUCGCUUGAGUCCAGGAGUUUGAGGCUGCAGUGAGCUAUGAUGGCACCACUGCACUCCAGCCUGGGCAAUACAGUGAGACCCUGUCUCUA
ensembl:misc_RNA Metazoa_SRP Metazoan signal recognition particle RNA